AAAUAAACAUUUUACAGGAGAAAUAUCCUAAUAUUACAUGCUUAAAAUUCAUCACAAAUUUAGUCAGUGUCCACGAGUUAAUUAUUUUGAUUAUUGUGGGCACUGCACUAUUUUUGUAUGUGUGUAUCCGGGCCGGGCACGUAUGGGGAGCGGCUUCUGGUGGCGGACACUGUGGCUGGGAAGGGGAGCUGCCGGAGGGAGUAGGCUCCUGUGGGGCCAGUGGAGAAGCUUUGUGGCAAGCUGGUGGAGGAGGUGUUGGUAGCGAGUGUGAAGGGUGGUGAGGUGUAGGGUGUGGAGGGCCUCCUGGCUCAGGCGUGUAGAUGGGAGCAGGAGAAGAAAGAACAAAGGAAGAGGACGAAGAAGAAAGGAAAAAUGGAAGUGGAAGAAGAGGAGGAGCCAAGCCACAAUAUUUAGGUCCGCAGAAAACGACACGCUGAUUUAUUUGAAGUCAAGGAUGGAGAUUAAAACGGCCUUUAAAAACACCACACCCGUUUUGUCCACCGCCAUCACCACCUUCUCCCAGAUCAAGGAAGUGUAUUACGGACUCACACAAAAGGAAGAGGUGAGUACCCGUAUCACAGGUCACACCGUGGGACUGACACCGCUGCAGCAACCCUUCGGAAUAAAGUCAAGUACAAAUUACGGUUUGCUAGGCGUUAGGUGUUAGGCAUAGGGCGAUAGGCGGCGCGGCUAACCAUUCUCUUCCAGGUACAUGUUAAUUAUCUAGUCUUCUUCAGUAAUGCCCUGGUUACUUUUGGCUAAAAUAAGCGUCUUGUGUGUGUGUGUGUGUGUGUGUGUGUGUGUGUGUGUGUGUGUGUGUAU